GAAGUGUCUAGUUCCAGCUUCUAUGAGAUUGCCUGCUUCUGAACUAUUGAAAGACCCAUUCCUUGCAACUGAAAACACAAAGGAGAUCAAUCAUGAUAUGCUACACCUGCCUGAUCCCUUUGCCAAGAUGGUGAAUCCACCAAUAUCCGAGCCUUAUCCCAUGGAGAUAGACUCGAACUUCAGGCAUACUUCAUCUAGCUCCUCUGUUAGAAGAAUUGAAGAAGCUUCUCAAGUUUCAACUUUUGAUCUAGUUAGGAUGACUGAGAAUAACGAAUUUAGGUUAAGAGGAGAUAAAGAUGGUGAAAGUACAAUUUCGCUUAUGCUGCGAAUUGCAGAUACACAUGGUGAGUAUUUUCAGAUAUCUUUUCUUUUUUACUGUAUGCUAAUACACAUGUUAAUAUAUUUGUGUAGGCCGAGCAAGGAAUAUCCAUUUUCCAUUUUUUAUUGAGUCUGAUACUGCAAUUUCAAUUGCUGCGGAGAUGGUGGAACAUCUGGAACUCGCAAGUGAGGAGAACUCGAGCUAAAAUAAUAACUCAUAUCGAACUCAAGUCGAGUUUCGAGACGAACCAAUCCUUAUCGAGUUGAACUGAGCUAACCAUUAAACAAUGCAAUAAAAAGAACAUCAUCAAAUAAAAUGGUAAAAGUGAAGAAAAUGUAACCAAAUAAAAAGUAGAGAUAUAGAAAAGGAAAAAGAAUUGAGUCAAUACCAAUAAUAGUUGUGAUUGAGUUCUAUAAAAAGACAUUUCUCAAUAAAUUAUAAUUAUUAAGAAAUAGUCCAUAAAAUAAAAGACAUCGUCAACUAAUAAAUUGAACCAAAUUGUUAUGUUUGUUUUGGUUCAAUUUCUAUACUAAAAAAUAAUAUAAAUUGAACCACUCUUAUUUCUGAUUCAAUUUUUGAAUUACACUAAAAAUUGAUUUGAACCAUAUUGUUACCCUUUCAAUCAUAGUUAGGGCUAGCCAUGGUCAUAAAAAAGUCCACCGAAUCAAUGUAAAGUUUUUGUCUAUUGUGGUGUUGAAAAAGUUGGCUCAAUCAUCUUAGAAUUUAGCAAAUUAAUUUAUAUCCCAAAUGUUCUCUUUGAAUUAAAAAAGGAGUUAUAUAUAUAUAUCACAUUAAUAAUGAUUUUAUUGAUAAUGUAAAAACUAAAAAGUGUAAAAAAAACAACUGAAAUGAUAUUGGAGAUAUAUUAAAUUCUUAACAAAAUACAUUUCAGGGUAUGAUAAGCAACAAAAGGGGUGAUUAUGGACCACGUUGGGAUAAAUUAAGGUUUCUCCUUAUCUGACUUUAAAUAUUGAUCAAGUCAUUUUUUGAACUUGGAUAUAGCCUUAGAUAUGAAAUUAAUCUUACCCUAAAUAUUGUUCGGAUCGGGCUUUAAAUAUGGAUCUAACCCUAAACCUAAUUAAAUACAAUGCAUACUCAUUUUAGAUAAAAUCUUUUCAAUAUUAUUUAUUAUUAUGAAUAUAUAAUUUCACAUAUAAAAUGAUAUAUAUAUAUAUAUAUUAUUAAUCAUGCGUAUAUAAUUAAAAAAAUUAGAGAAAAAAUGAUACUUUCAACAAAAAAAGUGUCAUUAUUCUGUACACAAUUGAAUAGAGAAACUACAAACAUGAUGAGUGAGUGACUAUGAGACGGGUUGAACAACGUUAUGUUUGGUUUAUAUCCGACCUUACAUAUUGAUCGAGUAUACUUUUUUAACCCAAACUCGAUCCUAGAUCUGACCCUAUUUGGAUUCGAUCAUGAACGUGACAUACCAAGAAAGCGGGUAAAGCCUCAUCCUACUUGCCCAUAAGUAAUAAUAUAUGAUAAAGUUUGCAUUUGGAUAGAUGAUAGUGUAUCCGUUGAAUACUAUACUACCAUAUGAAUAUGUGGAACAAGAUGUAUGAUAAUGAGUUUUAUAUACUUUCAUCUAUCAUAUUAUUAUCCUGUAAAUAUAUAAUACAAAAGUUUAAAAUCUAUACACUUAUAAUAUAAAUUUGUUACAUUAUUAACACAUCAUUAAUAUUUAUUAACAAUCAAUGAUUAAUCAUUUACAGAUAGUGUAUACAUAUUAAAUCAAUAAUAAAAAUCUUCAUCUUAAUCUUUAGCUUUAAAUUGUUUUAUCAUACUGUUAAUGUUAUCCUAACCUACCCUAUAAUAAAGAUGUUAAUCUCCCUCUGUUACACCUUUCUCUUAUAUCAAUACGCUGCCGUUUCAUUCUAGAGUUCUCCAAUUUCGAAGAUGCAGAUUGAAUCAUGGAUCAUCAUCAAUCUCGGUUUCGUUUCAUAAACACACAUCAAUUGCGAUCAUUACGACGUCGUUUUUAUGCUAUGAAUCUUCAAUUCUCCAACACCAUGUUCUUCGUUGGAUCCCGUUUCCGUUUAUCGGAGUUUGAUUCUUACUCCGUUGCUUCUGAAGCUUUUUCUGAAAAACAAUUUUCUCUUUAUCGAAUUCUCUUCAUUCACUUCCUCGUUACCCUUUAAUUUAGGGUUUGCCACAAAGAUAAUCGUCAAUUCUCUUUUUCUUCUUUCUUUGAAUCACUAUGAAUUCGGAUCCAAGUUCACGUUAUGUUCGGGUAUGGAUUUUGUUAUUAUUAAUAUUUUUUAUUUAUUUAACCAAUUCUUAUUGGGUUUUUUGUUAUUGAUAUAUAAUAUUAAUCAAUCUUUGUUUUGUUUGGUUUUAAAUGUUCAGUAUGAUGAGAUGUUGGGGAAAGGAGCAUUCAAGACUGUGUAUGCCUCUUUCUUUAUUAGGGUUCAUGUUAUUAUUAGAAGAUCAUAAUUUUAUAUUUUAUAUUUUUCAUCUAGUUAUUUUGUGUUUUCAAGUUGGGCCUACAAGUUAUCUUUUCCAAUUUUUUUGUUUGUUUCUAGUGUUUAAAAUCAUUUUUUAAUGGUAUUGAUUCCGAAAUUUAGAGGGUGUGGGUCAGCUCAAUGGUACGGUUGUUUGCCGUGUGACAGAUUAUGGUUUCAAAUCACGAGAAGGGUAAGACUGCAUACAUUUACCAUCCAUAGGUCCCACGAGGUGAGAGCCUCGUGCAUUGCGCCGCCCUUUGUUGAUUCAGAAAAUUGAUAAGAGAAAUUGUGUAGAUUUUUUUCAUUGUGAACUUAAUGACAUUCAAAUUGUGAAGUUUGGUGAAUAAUUGAGAGUUCUAGGAAAGAUUCCCUAGUAGAGCCAAAAUGAUAAAAUAAAAAAUAAAGUUACACUACAAAAUUGAAAACGAAAAAUAACUUAAGGACUGAUCCAGUUGUUUUGCUUAUUUUGUUGAUCUUUAUGAAGUUAUCAUACGGUAAUAAGGGACUGUGAAUAGGCAAUUGAGAGAGCCGAUAACGUCAUCCUCUUUACUAAUAGUUGUUUUCUUUUGCUUUUAUUACUUAUUUAAUUCGGGCUUUUUAUUUCCUAUUGUAGAUAUAGGGCAUUUGAUGAAGUAAACGGAAUAGAGGUUGCCUGGAAUCACAUCAGUAUUGAGGAUGUUUUGCAGUCACCACAGCAGUUGGAAAGAUUAUAUUCCGAGGUCCAUAUCCUCAAGUCAUUGAAGCAUGAAAAUAUUAUUAAGCUUUAUAAUUCUUGGGUAGAUGAUAAGAACAAGACUAUCAACAUGAUUACCGAGUUAUUCACCUCUGGGAGUUUGAGGCAGUAAGUUUCACCAAUGAUAUGAAUUAUUUCCCCUUUUACAUGGUUAUUGCUAUCAUAUUCAUUUUGAUCUUGGUUUAUGUAGGUACCGGAAGAAACAUAAGAAUGUUGAUAUGAAAGCCAUCAAGAAUUGGGCGAGGCAGAUUCUUCGAGGCUUAUGCUAUCUGCAUAGCCGCAGUCCUCCGAUAAUUCAUAGGGAUCUUAAAUGUGAUAAUAUUUUCGUUAAUGGCAAUGAUGGCCAUGUUAAGAUUGGAGAUCUUGGAUUGGCAAUUGUCAUGCAGCAGCCUACUGCCCAGAGUGUUAUUGGUAAUUUGCUCAAUUUUCUCUUAUGGUUUUCACUGGAUUGAACCUUAAGAAUUGAAUAAUGACGCAUUGUUUUUUAUAUGUUAUUCUCACCUGGUGCAGGUACACCAGAGUUCAUGGCCCCAGAGCUAUAUGAUGAAGAAUAUAAUGAACUUGUUGAUAUAUAUUCCUUUGGCAUGUGUAUGCUGGAAAUGAUCACCUGUGAGUACCCAUACAGUGAAUGCAAAAAUCCGGCCCAAAUAUAUAAGAAAGUUACCUCUGUAAGUCUUCAGCCAAUGACUUCAUUAAUUAUUUCACGGUGCUUUUCCGACUUAUUAUUUUGAUAAUCUGCGCCUAGUUUUUACUCAAACUGUUGUGCUUCCAGGGCAUAAAGCCUGCUGCUCUUUCCAAAGUAAAUGAUCCGGAAAUGAAGCGAUUUAUUGAGAAGUGUCUAGUUCCAGCUUCUAUGAGAUUGCCUGCUUCUGAACUAUUGAAAGACCCAUUCCUUGCAACUGAAAACACAAAGGAGAUCAAUCAUGAUAUGCUACACCUGCCUGAUCCCUUUGCCAAGAUGGUGAAUCCACCAAUAUCCGAGCCUUAUCCCAUGGAGAUAGACUCGAACUUCAGGCAUACUUCAUCUAGCUCCUCUGUUAGAAGAAUUGAAGAAGCUUCUCAAGUUUCAACUUUUGAUCUAGUUAGGAUGACUGAGAAUAACGAAUUUAGGUUAAGAGGAGAUAAAGAUGGUGAAAGUACAAUUUCGCUUAUGCUGCGAAUUGCAGAUACACAUGGUGAGUAUUUUCAGAUAUCUUUUCUUUUUUACUGUAUGCUAAUACACAUGUUAAUAUAUUUGUGUAGGCCGAGCAAGGAAUAUCCAUUUUCCAUUUUUUAUUGAGUCUGAUACUGCAAUUUCAAUUGCUGCGGAGAUGGUGGAACAUCUGGAACUCGCAAGUGAGGACGUAGCUGUCAUUGCUGAGCUGAUACAUGACAUGAUUGUGAACCUUGUGCCCAACUGGCAACCCUCAUGUCGUGACCUUCAAUUUCGAACUGGUCAUUUAUGCCGGUCUUCUGAUGUUCAAAAUGAUGAAAUAGGAAGUUGCCAUUGGCCACCACAUUCAAGUGAUUUUGAAACAAAGGCAGCCGAUGGAGAUUUUGUUCUUUCAAAGCACGUUGAUGGGGAAGAUCAGGAGAAGCAAGAGUCUGUUUUGUCGGAUAUUUCAGCAGAGUAUGGGGUUCCAGUUACCUCAGAUUCUAAAGCUUUAGAGCAUGGUUUUUCAAUUCUUGAUGAAUGCUGCCAAGUAUCUAAUGGCUUUAAUUGCAAUUCAGAUUUCAUGUUUUGUCGUCAAGAUGAUGGAUACAAGAAUAGAACUAAUCAAUCAGAGAAUCACUCAGCAAGCUCUUUGAUGAAUUCAUGUUGCAGCGCAUCCGAAAUAUUUGACACGUCAAGCAUAUGUUCGCUUACUCUAGCCGACAAAGAUAAUUCGAAUGAUGAACUGCAGUUGGAGCUUGAUGCAAUAGAUGUACAGUAUCAACAAUGCCUUCAUCAGCUUGAUAAGAUGAGGGAAGAAGCCAUAGAAAAUGCCAAAAGGAAAUGGAUAACAAGGAAGAAAAUAUCAGUCAUAUGAUGCAUUAGGAUGGUUGUUUGUAUUUUUUUUUAUAUGUUGUUACAUCAAUUAACAUAUGGUUGUAUUUCAUUGUUGGUGGUUCUGGUUUUUGAGAAAUGAAAUCGCCUGCAAUUUGGGACAUAACUUGCAUUUCUCUUACUUUUUCAAUGUUCAAAAGUGGUAUGGUGUCUUCAGAACCAAGAAUAUAUAACACAUGAAAAUCUGGAUGACUUGGUUAUUAAAGGUUAUACUCUAUAAAUAUGAGUGGGGGGACCCCACUUACUCAAAGAGUAAGUUUUUAAAUUUACUUCACAUCUUAGCCAUCAAUUUUUGGGAAAUCUAAUACUCUUAAAAUUGAUGGUUAAGAUAUGAAGUAAGUUGAUCUCUCCCUAUAUAUCGAACACAUAUCUCAAUCAACAAUUUAACACUAGGGAUAAUCAAGAAACCAGUAGUGAAAAGCAUCCCGCAAAGUGUCACUUCAUGUGUUAGUUGUUGUGAAUGGUUUUAAUAAUUAAAUGUUUUCUCACCAAUCACAUUCAAUGUGACAUAUGAAAUUUCAUAUUUGUGGGACAUAAGAUGUACUCACAUCCAAAAUGUCUAGAAAAUCCCUGUAUCUACGAAUGAUAAUAAUUAGGCACCAGGCCUUUAAUAUAUAAAAAAAUGUCUUACUCUAUAAGGAAAAAGAUUGAUUUCAAAAUCAUGACUUGCAAGUCACAAUACAACUAAAGGGUACUCUAAUAAGAAGCAAUGAUGCAAAGCCAUGCAACAUUCUUACUCCUUAUGAUAGCUUUUAAUGUGAGGAUAUCUUUCAUCUUUUCACAUGAACAAGUUUGCUAUAUUAUUAGUACAUAAUAGUCAUUGAAUCACAGAACCUCUAUAUAAUUAAAGUUACAAAAAGUGACUAGAAAGCAAUAAGUAAAUCACAGAACGUUUAAAUAAUUAAAAUUAAAAUAUAAAAAGAACAUAAUAUUUUGAGGUGCAGUGCACAAGGUGAUUUUUUGAAGUACAUCCAAGAAAGUAUUUUAAGUUAGAGGGUUAACCAACAAAUAAUAAUUGGGCUGCUUCAUCAUCAGAAUCAACAAUAACACUAAUCACUCAUAAGUAAUUAAAUUUGAAGGAAAAAAAAAAUGUAUUGACGAGUAAUGUAUGAGUUUUAUAUAUUGUCACAGUAUUAUCUACCAUUCGUAUGUGUUCUUAUGUAUUGGGAGGAAAUGGUCGGUAACUGAUUCAGAAUGGUCGGUGAUGUAUGUCCAGUAGUGUAUGAAGGAUCAGGAGAUCUGGUCGAAAAGUCGUCUAGACCCGCCGGGGAGGUACCUUGAAAAGGUUCUCUGAUGCUCAAGUCAAUAGUGUAUUCUAGAGAGAUAAAAGGAAUAAAUAAGAGAGAAGCUGAAGUAAUAAGUGUAGCAAUAAAUAAAGGAAAUGAGAAUUGAUUAUACUCCCGGUGUAAUCUCAGAUAUUUAUAGAGUUUAGGAAAUGCUUAGAUGACAACUGGUACGUAUCCCAACAGCGCAUUAAAUGGUGGAUCACAUAUAUUAAUGUUGUGUCGGGAGCAUUUAUGAUGUCUGCUAUAAGUGGGUCCAUCUGAGGCGAGUGGUCAGAAAAUGCAGGACCCUUCAUAUGGUAUCUGGAAUGUUCGGAUGGUAGCCCAGGUAUGAUCGGGGUGGAAUAGUUGCCCCCAGUCUAUUAGGUCGGGCAAAACGUGCCGGGCUAAUAGACUUGAGGAUUGGAUUGAAGAUAGCUCGGGUAUGAGGUAGAACAAUAUGUAAUCAUCAUUGACACUUAAAAAAAAGAAAUAAAAUAAAUGAUGAAUAAUAUAUUAAUUGUAUAUAAGUUUUUAUACUAAUAAUGUCAAAAUAUUAUACUCACUAGAUUUAAGACAGUAGCCAACUGAUUCUGACAGAUUAUUUAGAAAAAUGAAGCAUACUAGGAUGUACUUCAAAAUGUCUAUACUCUCCCAACAUGUACAUGUCCUUGUCGGUGUGAGUUAAUUAUAAGUGUGUAAUAUUUAUGUAUUGAUAAUAUAAGAAUUUAUACAAAGUUAAUAUAUCAUUUACUAUUUUAUUUAUAUUAUUUUUAUUUAAGAGUUAAUAAUAAUUAAAAAUGAAUGAUAAAAAUGUACUGAUUAUAUAAAAAACUCUUAUAAUCAGUACAUACAUAUUUUUCUCUCAUUACAAACAAAAACGGCCCAUAAAAGAGGCUUCAUCUAGUAAAUUUGAAGAUGGUAAAGGGACACAAUCAAAUCUACUUUUAUAAUGUAUUUUAUUAUGUUAUUCUACUUAACUUCUUUUUGGCUAAAACUUUGUUUUGUCAUUUAUCUUAUUUUUAGGUUUUAAUUUAGUUUUCUACUAAAAUAAAAGAGUGAAUUUAAUUCACUAUUCUAAUUUUAUUGUUCAAUUUAGUCCUCAAACAAAACGAAACUACAAUUUAGUCUUGCAUCUUUCUAAUUUCAUUAUUCUAUGGUGACAAUGUUUAUUAUAUUUAAUCAAAAAGACAUCCAUCCAUUUUUUCCUGCAUAUUUCUACAGUGAAGAAUGAAUAUAUGGCUAAUUUAGCAUAUUCUAGCUGAAAUUUAAUUAACACGGUUAUGAUUGAAAGGUAAAAUUGAUAAACAUUAUUACUUAGUAGUUAUACGAGAAUUUUAUCUUAUCAUAUUGUACUCUUAUUAAUAAAUUAUAAUUUCAUAUCGCGUCAAUGUUGUUAAAACUAUUUCAUAUCGACAUGUUCAACCGAUAAACCGGUCCCAAUACUGGUAUGUACAAUAGUUAUACCAGUCAUGUAAUCAUACAGGUCAAAACCACUAAAACCGGUUAUACUAGCCGGUUUUCAAUUAUAUCGACCAAUUUUUAUUUUAAAUUAAUUUUUUAUUGAUUUUUCAACAUUAAUGUUAAUAUAUGAUAUAUGUAUAUCUAAUUUCGCUGGUAUGUGAUUUAAUUAGUAAACUAUCGGUUAAACCGUUAUACCACUACACCAAUACUCUAACCAGUUUAAUGGCCGCUACUGUAUUAAUAACACUGAAUCAAAUCAUAUUUAACUUUUACUAUCAUAUUCUUAUUAUCUCUGAAAAUAAACCUAUCAUUUCAUUGAUAAUAAAUUAAUAUACAUUCUAUUUCUACAAUUCUACUCUAUAUGUAUACAAAUUUUAUUCAUGUCAUUAUUAAUCUAUAAUAAUAAAUUUAUACUCCUUACAAUAAUGAAAUUAUUAUCAAAAUACUAAUAUUAAUAUAUANNNNNNNNNNNNNNNNNNNNNNNNNNNNNNNNNNNNNNNNNNNNNNNNNNNNNNNNNNNNNNNNNNNNNNNNNNNNNNNNNNNNNNNNNNNNNNNNNNNNUAUAUAUAUAUAUAUAUAUAUAUAUAUAUAUAUAUAUUUUGCUAGAGUGAUUCAAAUGACAAUACUUUUCAUAUAAAAAUUACUGAACAAUAAAUUUGUGUCAUACAUAAAAGAUUGAAAUUGAAAAUUAAUUAAUGUUCACAUAACCCCUUAAAAGCAUUAUAUGUAUUUAUCUUUUAAUUUCAAACAUUCAAAUAUGAUCUAAAAAUUCACAUUAAUUACUCUAUCUCAUAAUAAAAAUUGUUUUUACAUAAUUGACUCAAUUUAUUUCUUUAAUUUGUUAUUAGUAUGAUCGUGGUCGCUAGAACAAGUUGUAGCUAUAUAUUCCUUGUCAGAGUAUUUUGGAAUGAAGCAUCUUGGCUACAAUUGUCCCAAUAUUCAUUUAAUAUUUUUUGGUAUUACCAAAGAGUGUAAAAUAUACAUUGACAGAGUAAAUAUUUAUACAUAUGCACUUUAUUAUCCACCAUUCAUUUGAAUUACCUUUUCUAAGAGUCAAGAAUAAUUAAAAAUCAAUAGUGGAUGAUGCAAUGACAGUGUAUAAAACUCAUAGACGGUCGUGCAUACACUAUUUUCUCAUUACCAAAUAUAUUUUUUUACUUUCUUGAAUAUUAAAUUAAUCUCUUUUGGAGUUCAUGGUUGUCCCUCCUAAUAAGUGACAUUUUUGAGAAUCAAAUUCUUAAUGUUUCUAUCAUUCUAGAAAUUUAUCAGGAUUUUAGACCAUUAAACCAACUCAUUCUUGAUUAACAAUUUCUAUAUAAACAAAUUUAUCCCUUUAUUUUAUGGAUAAGGAAUUAAGGGUUUGUAUUUGCCUAUAUCAAAUUAAAUUUUUAACCUAGUGUGAUACAUAAAUAUCAAAACAUUUGAGAAAAGUCUUAGAUUCCUUUAAUAUCUUCUUGCCUAUCAUUUUCUUAUCAAUGCAAACAUUGUUUUCUGCAUCAUACAACAAAUCAUAAAUUUUGAGUAAUUUUGAAGAUGCAUGAAUACUUUUUUUUGGUACUAUAAAAGAUAUCUUUUAAUCUUUUGAGAAAUAAACUAAUAUCUUUUAAGGUGUGUGUCUGCUUAGUCUAGCAAGUCACAUACAUGAAUUGAAUCGUUGAUAUUUUGGUUUUUUGGAACUCUAUCAAAACCUCACACUAGAUCAACCUUGUGAUGAUAUAUAACCAUUAAUUUCAAGCUUCAUAUAUGCAAAGAUAUAUAUUACAUUAAUCUUUAUGCAUAUAAAUGCAUUACAAAAAAAUAUUGGAUUUUUAUAAUGUUUGAAAUACAUAUAGCAACAAAUCAUUGAUUUUGAUUAAAUCAUUAAAUUACUUUUAUGUGAAAAUUCUACUGGUGUAAUAAUUUACCGCUGAUUUUACUAGGUAUGAUAUUCCACUUUAUAAAUGUCUGGAACAUCUUAAAUGCAAUGACAAUUAAAAUGAUUUUUUUAUAUUAUUAAGAGUAUUCCUGUCAUUUGAAUAAGGGAUAUAUCUCAUUCCGGAUGUGUGAUUAUCCUUUCCAACAAUUAUCACUUUAAAAAAUUGAAUAUUUAAUUUUUUGGUGGACAAAAUCUUAUACUACUUAACCAACAGAUUUUUUUGGUGGUAAAUGAAAUGGUUGAUAAAGACGUCCAGAUUCACAAAUAGUACCAGAUUCUCCACACUAUUACGUCCAAGUACAAGUUCUUUAUAUUUAUUUAUUUCUUUCUUAUUGUAGAAGUUUCAGACAAGUCAAAAGCAGAAAAUUCCAUAUUAAAUACCAAGCAUAUCUACCUAUUCUCCCUCAUCAAUUUCCAACUACUUUCUCUCCUUCUCAUUAUCACUUGCAUUCUCUCCUUUCAAUUUUCUCACAUUUUAAUCUUUCAAACUCAUGGCUGAUACCACGAAUCAAGGCAUGACUUACCUUCCCAACAAAAAGAGAAGUGUCCUAGAGGACCUCGAUUUGGAUGGCAAAGAUGCAAAAAAACUAGUGCUAUCUAGCUCACUGAGUGGAAGCCUUGUGGACCCGGCUGCCUCGUUGGCGAAUGCACGCCAUGAAUUCGGUGAACAUG
rnacentral:lncRNA from 1 species